GACGAACGCUGGCGGCGUGCUUAACACAUGCAAGUCGAACGGAAAGGCCUGCUUUCCCUUGUGGAUUGCGGGUACUCGAGUGGCGAACGGGUGAGUAACACGUGAGUGAUCUGCCCCUAACUUGGGUAUAAGCCUGGGAAACUGGGUCUAAUUCCCGAUAGGACUGCAGGGUGGUGCCUGUGGUGGAAAACGAUUUUCUAGUGGUUGGGGAUGAGCUCGCGGCCUAUCAGCUUGUUGGUGGGGUAAUGGCCUACCAAGGCGGCGACGGGUAGCCGGCCUGAGAGGGUGGACGGCCACAUUGGGACUGAGAUACGGCCCAGACUCCUACGGGAGGCAGCAGUGGGGAAUAUUGCACAAUGGGCGGAAGCCUGAUGCAGCGACGCCGCGUGGGGGAUGACGGCCUUCGGGUUGUAAACUCCUUUCGACCGCGAGGAAGCCACCUGGUUGGAAGGGUGGUGACGGUAGUGGUAGAAGAAGCACCGGCUAACUACGUG
rnacentral:rRNA from 1 species